AACGAAUCUAGUAUACCCUUUUACUCUACACGUAACGGGUAUAAUAAAAUUUAAGGACUCAAUUAAAUAUGGUUCGUAGAUGGACCCACUGUUAUGCUAUUAUUUCAAAAAUUUGGAUAAUUUUUUUAUGAAACUUUCCUAAAGUCCUUAAAGAAAUGUCCUUUACGGUGGUCUUGCGUGCAUUAUUGAAAACGCUCUGCGAGGUGAGAUAUUUCUUAAAUAGUGGGUAACCGAUUUAUCAAUUGCAUAUUUUAUAUACUUAUUUGAGUCCUAUAAACUUUUUUGUUUUUUGGAAUUCAACUCUAAAUAACGAAAAAUUAUUAAAUAUAAAUCGUCCCUAAGUUCCAAUUUUCCACCGUUCCGCCAUCGCCGCUAACGCACUGACGCUAAUUUGACGCACGUUCUUUGGAGUAAUUGUAAAAAAAUUGACAAAAUAUCUAAGCUUCCGAUAUAUAUAUAUAUAUGUAUAUAAUAUACGUAUUUGCGCCAUCCAAACCGGCCAAUUCAAUUACUUCAUAGAACCCAUACUGCAUGCUAACUGCGCGUUCUUUGGCAACGGCUUUUAGCCAUUCUUGUAAAUUAAUCUUGAGGACUGACGUAAAUGAUGAGCAGCAAUGAAAAUUAAAAUUGUUCCAAUAGUGAGUUAAAAACAAGAGCCCGAUUAGAUCCGGAGAUAUCUUGCUGUGGAAUUCUCGAGACGUAAGCACACGACGAUGAGUAGAAUUUGGGUUGGUCAUGUCAUGUGCGGGGUGGUGUGAAACAGAUGGAAGCACGCAGAUGGCCCGUAUUAAAGGAUAUACCAAAAAGAUCUGUAAACUGUGAUGGAGAUAAUGGAUGCGGGUGUUUGAAGAUUAAUAUAGAAAAUUUUAC
rnacentral:sRNA from 1 species